rnacentral:sRNA from 12 species
CCUUUGGAGAGUACAAGAACUUGUUAGUAGUAUUCAGUAAUGAUAUGAAAGCAUACUCGUUGAAAAAGGAA